AACUAUGUUAGUUUUUUAUAUCCCAUUGUUUUAUCUACCCUGUUGCUUCUACUGGACUGUUUUACUAGGAGGUAAGAUAUAUAAUAAACCUCCAGGUAAAACCUCAGGCUUGUGUGAACCACACUUUCCAGAGAGCUGCCAGUAGCAAGACCACUUGCUAAAACCUGUUGUGAAAUAUAUAGUCUGAAUUUUGUGUCUUGAAAUGAAAUAAAACUUUCAACAACGGAUCUCUAGGCUCUUGCAUCGAUGAAGAACGCAGUGAAAUGCGAUAAGUAAUGUGAAUUGCAGAAUCUCGUGAAUCAUUGAAUCUUUGAACGCACAUUGCGCCCUAUGGUAUUCCAUAGGGCAUACCUGUUUGAGCGUUAGCUCCCCCAUACUCUCAAGCAUUAUUUUGUAAUGUUUGGAUUUGUUUGGAGAGGCACCUCUGUCAUUGAGGUACCCUUCAGAAAUGUAUAUGGCAGUAUAGUUUAUAUCUGAACCAGGCGUAAUAAUAAUAAAGUCGCUGAGUUCACCAUAUUUAUACU
rnacentral:rRNA from 1 species